rnacentral:lncRNA from 1 species
AAUUUGAAGUCAACCAGGAUUUUUCCACCAAAAUUAUUUCUCCGCCACUAUGUCAAAUUUGUAAUGGAUUCUAACUCUUUAAACGGUGCAGAUUUUGGAGAAGGUACUUAUUCAUCACGUAAGAAAAAGCGAUAAGAAAUCAAAUUGGCAAUGUUUGUCUGGUUACGUUUACUACAACCAAAAUAUGUCUAAGAAAGUCCAGGAGUCUCCAUCUUAAUACAAGACCUAUAUCAUCUAUCUUUUUCUGGAAAAUCGGUGGCUUCCCAAACUCUAUCCAAAUUCAACAAAAACAAACACCGUGUAUCAACUACCAUACUUGCAAGCGUAUAUUCGAAUGGUCACAUAGAGGACCUUGAAUAUAGAUUCUGCAUGAAAGAUGACUUAGCUUACUCUAACCUUGUUCGAGAUCAAGCGUUUAUGUUGAAAUUCCUGAGAAGUAAGCACAAUUUCGACUUAGUUCAUAAAUACGCAAGACAUCAACAAGCCAAGUGAUGGAAUAAAUUAUAGUAAGUUGCAUCAAGAACUUGAAUUAUGAUGGCAUUCCAAACGAAAGACGAGAAGAGCAAGAUCCUUCAGUUUGGACUCAUUGUCUGCAACAUUGUGGCUUUUGAAAUAUUCAUAAGGUUAGCUUAUGUUGUAGUUCACUUUUAAUGAAUGAAUAAUGAAUAGACAAAGGAAACCUUUUGCUGAAUGAUUCUCAGUUUGAUAGGAGUCGAUUGCAUCGUCUUUGAUACACAUGAACUACAACCAAAAAAUUAAAUAAUGAAUUCACUCAAGUAUGUGCCAUACAAUAUCAUUUUUCUAUUAGUAUUAUCAGAGAUGUAUUAAAGUUCUUCUAUUAGACUUUAAUAUCAUAAUUUGACGAAUGUAUUAAAUUAUACUUGUGUGUUUCCAAUCUCAUCUAUUUAUGUAUAGACUGUUGCAUUAGGUUUGAUAAUAGCUUUUUGUUGUAUAAAUUUUCAGGAUAUUUUUUUUUUUUUGCAAGAAUGAAAUUGAAGAUUUUUAUUAACGAUAACAUGUGUUUUUUUUUUAAUAUUUAAGUGGUUGAGAUUUUUAUUUUUAGCUACAAAGUUUUGUAAGUAAUGCCAUGGAAGGCAGAAAUAACUAAUUGACUUUUUAUUCUCUAUUUUCUCUAUUAUUAAUAUAUCUUAAAGAAAUAUGAUUUCCAUAUACUCAAAUCAUUAAAUAUUAGGUAAUUACAUAGAGUGACCAUAAGUAUUGAAUAUACCUAAACUGGAUCUUGCAUAUUGUUUGACUCAAAAGAUAUUGGAACAUUUUUGAACAAAUCAAUUAAAGAAAAUGAAGGAGUAAAUCUUAGUUAAACAUAAUAAAUUCCAGAUCAAUGAGCUAAUCGAAAGAAUAAUAUAUGAGAUGAAACAUAGGCCAUCGAUCUUAUUGAAACCCUUCAUUGGGGCUCCCACUAAUCAAAGGAGGAGGUAGUUUUACAUGUUUUUCUGGAAAUUACUUCGUUCUUCCUUUUCAUUAUGAAGAUUACAAAGGAGUGAACUCCCG